GAGUUUGAUCGUGGCUCAGAACGAACGCUGGCGGCAGGCUUAACACAUGCAAGUCGAACGCCCGCAAGGGGAGUGGCAGACGGGUGAGUAACACGUGGGAACGUGCCCAAAGGUACGGAACAACUCCGGGAAACUGGAGCUAAUACCGUAUGUGCCCGAAAGGGGAAAGAUUUAUCGCCUUUGGAUCGGCCCGCGUCUGAUUAGCUAGUUGGCGGGGUAAUGGCCCACCAAGGCGACGAUCAGUAGCUGGUCUGAGAGGAUGACCAGCCACACUGGGACUGAGACACGGCCCAGACUCCUACGGGAGGCAGCAGUGGGGAAUAUUGGACAAUGGGCGCAAGCCUGAUCCAGCCAUGCCGCGUGAGUGAUGAAGGCCUUAGGGUUGUAAAGCUCUUUCGCCGAGGACGAUAAUGACGGUACUCGGAUAAGAAGCCCCGGCUAACUUCGUGCCAGCAGCCGCCGUAAG
rnacentral:rRNA from 1 species